rnacentral:rRNA from 1 species
AGUGAACGCUGGCGGUAGGCCUAACACAUGCAAGUCGAACGGCCGCACAGUAAGAGCUUGCUCUUACGGGUGGCGAGUGGCGGACGGGUGAGGAAUACAUCGGCAUCUACUUUUUCGUGGGGGAUAACGUAGGGAAACUUACGCUAAUACCGCAUACGACCUACGGGUGAAAGCAGGGGAUCUUCGGACCUUGCGCGAUUGAUUGAGCCGAUGUCGGAUUAGCUAGUUGGCGGGGUAAAGGCCCACCAAGGCGACGAUCCGUAGCUGGUCUGAGAGGAUGAUCAGCCACACUGGAACUGAGACACGGUCCAGACUCCUACGGGAGGCAGCAGUGGGGAAUAUUGGACAAUGGGCGCAAGCCUGAUCCAGCCAUACCGCGUGGGUGAAGAAGGCCUUCGGGUUGUAAAGCCCUUUUGUUGGGAAAGAAAAGCAGCAGGUUAAUACCCCGCUGUUCUGACGGUACCCAAAGAAUAAGCACCGGCUAACUUCGUG